UGUAAACAAAUACGAUAAGUUUUGCUUUCGUUGCAUACAUUUCAUCAUUUCUUGAAAUUAAUUAGUUUGGAUCUUAUUCUAUGCAAAUUAGAUAGAAAAAUUUUGGUUUUGCAAGAAUCAAUAAAGUUUUAAUAAUUUAUUAUAUUGCUGUCACAAACAAAUUUAUUUCAUCAUGGCUCGAACUAAGGAUGCAACAAAAGAUGUGCCUGUUGAGAAUUACAGGAAACAGAUUGGAAAGCAAGAUUACAAGAAAUCAAAAGCCGAGUUAAAGAAAACUAAAGCUCAAGCUCAGGCCAAAAAAGAAGGUCCUACUUUAUAUCGAGAUAUGGCAAUACUAGUAUUUGGAAUAGCAUUUGUUAUGGGUGUUGUCUAUUUCUUUCUUUUCCUGUAUUUGGAAAACAAAGUGGAAGGAAGAAUCUAGAGUGAAUCUUAAAGACCGUCUGACAAAUUGAAACACAUAUUCAUGCAUAUCUUGUUUGAGUUUCGUCCUUGUGAUGGAAUUCAGAAGUUCACUGAAUAUUUGUAAGUACAAAGUAGUCAUGAAAAUCUCUGCAUUUUUAAAGAGUUCAAAGAUUAUUUGAUGUAAAAGUGAGAAACGGAAACUCACAAUAUCCCAAUAAGCAUAUUUUUAUGAAUCUGCUUUUUGAAAUGUCUCUUGUUUUCUUUUAUUGUUUUAAAUUUUAACUAUGCAUUUUUGAUGUUAAGUGUGGAAAAUGUACUCUUCUUUAUUAAUUGUAGUGACAAAUACAGGGUGACCCAAAAUUGUAACCUUGAUUGCAGUUGCCUUCAAUUUUUUUCUAAUAUAUUUAAGGCUUUACAUUUUUCAUUAAUAUAUAAAAGUUUUUAUAAUCCAUGAGAGUCCAUGAAUUUCUUUCAGUUACAUAAAAUACUAUGGUUUAUACUAUAACCAGUUACAUAAAAUACUAUGCCUUUGUAACAUCUGUUUUCAACCAAGCAAUUAAUGGCAUUUCCCUUAAUGACAAAUAUAGAAUUAGUUUGGCAUAAUAAGUAAACUUUGCUAUUGGUCUAUGCAUCUAAAAGGAAAAGCAUGAUCAAUGCAAUCACAAAGAGUUUAAAAAUAUAAAUUAUAAAUAAAUAUUUUUGAACACCCUGUAUUUCAAUAAUUAUGAAUAUGAUUAUAAAAUAAUGAAUGUGUAUUUUAACUCAGUUGCUUAACCUGAAAAUAAGAGUAGGAAUGUAGAUAUAUCUGAAUCCUUUCAUGUAUAUGCAAAUUUAGCAUGUUAUUAUAGGAUGUGAAUUAUUUUCUCUAAUUUUGGUCUAUACAUCUGAAAUCAAUUUUGUAAUAUUUGCCUUAAAUAUUAAUUGCAUUUUUAAUAUUUGUCUUUAUUUUAGUUUUAACUUCAUGUUAACUUAUUUGUAUUUUGAAUUUCUAAUUAUUAUUAUUAUUUUACAAUAUUUCUGUACAGAUUCUGAACUUUGUUAUAUCUUUAGAUUAUUUUAUAAAUGAUGUGUUGAAGUUUGACGAAGUUCCAUAAUUAUGGUGCUAAUAUUUUAUUUCCAUAUAUUUUUAUGUGAUGUUUUUUUUAAACUUUUUAAUCUUAUAUUUUCUAGUUUUGCUAUGCUUCGUUUAAUUUUUCUACAGCAUGCAAUUUGAGCCAUUUUUUAGAUUAUUAUUAAUUAUAAUGCAAAAUAUUUCAAUUUUAGUGCACAGCUAUCCAAUGGCAAAUUAUUGUGCAGUGAAACAUAACUUAUUCUUUGGAAGGUGUAUAAAAACUCUUUUUUCUAAGUUUUAAAAAGUUGCAUUAAUUUUUAAAAAAAGAAUUAUGCUAUUAUAAAUGCAGAUAGCAAUUUUUAGGCAUUCAUUUUUAUGAAUGGUGUAUAUUUCAUUUUUGCAUGCAAAAUUUCUCAUUUUGCUUAAAUCACUUCCUACCAUUAUAAUAAAAAAUCAUUAAUGUACAGAAAAAUAAUCAAACCCUUUAUGCUCUUAGUUUUAUUCUAAUUGAAUGAUCAGGGCAGAAAUUUACAGAGAAUAAGAAUUUGUAAUAAUAAUUAUAAAUAAGAAUUUGUGGCUAAAGAUUUUGUCAAUUGAAGUUUAAUAUCUACAAAGAACAUACUUAAAACACAGAAAUGAAAUUAAAAUCCGAUAAUUUGUUUGUAUCAUUAAUAUAAAAUCAGUUCUCCAUGACAAAUUUUACUUAUUUUAAGCUUUAAUAUAGAAAAUUUUGUACUUGUUUUUUUUUUAUCAGUAGUUAAGUAUUUUUCAUCUAUUUUUUUUAUUGUUUUAAACUUUUUUGUGUCGGGCAUUGUAAAAAUCCUACCUCAAUUAUUCCUACAAUAUUAACAUCUAUAUUAAUAUAUAUUGAUUUGAAUAAUUUAUACGAGUGAAAUAAUUAGCAGUAUGCUUCUAUAUGAAAGUAUUAAUUAACUGUAAUCUUCAUUUCUAGUCGAUAGCAGAUAAAAUUAGCCCAUCACUGGUGAGUUAAAGGAAUAUAGUUAGCAUGCAGAGUGCUUCUAAUAUAUCAAACAAAAUAAAUUACUAAAUGUUUUUUUUUUAUGUAAAUUAAAUAGAAUAAGAGAAAAAUUGCUUUCUGAUUAUAAAUUAUAAAGAAAAUGAUUAUAAAUAUAGAUAUUAUAAAUUAUAAAUGUUCAAAUGCAGAUUUAUAACAUCGCAAAGAAGCACUUAUAUAAAUAUAUUCAACAAGCAAUAUGCAUUUCAUUGAAUAGAAGUGCCUUUUAUAUAUUCAAUCAAUUUUAUUGUGAAGUAAAUAAUAUAAUUUUAUAACAAUUUUUAUUCAGCAUCUUAUAAUGCAUUCCUCGCCAAACCUUUUUGAAAAUUCAUUUUGUAAUUAAAUGUAUGAAAAUGUGGCUUGCAUUUUAUUCAUGGCUUACUUCAAAAGCAUAUAAGGAUUGUACUAUGUUAAUUUAACUCUUAAUAUAAUUCCAUCAUAGCAUGUGACUCACAUUCCACUGUUAUUUAAGCAAUAUCUCCUAAGUUUUCUAUGUCUCUUAUUAUUAUAAAAAAAAAUUAUCUGGAAAUUGUAGAAUAUAGUUUUUUUUUUCCAUUUACAGUUCAAAAUAAAUUGCCUUCUGUGUCUGUAACAUUAUGGAUUAUUUAUAUAAAUUAUCAAAAUUAUGCUAAUUUUUAAUAUGAUUAGUAUAAAAAUAUUCAUGAAUAUUGAUAGUUGAAAAAAAAGAAUAACUAAAUUUGGCUAUUGUGAGACAAAAAUACAUAAUUAAAUUUUUGUCUGACUAUUUAGUGUUUACUAUGAUUUUUUAAGUGUCAUUUUCAUGCAAAUGUUAUUCUGAAUUAUUAGGCACAUUUUAUCAUUUUUAAAAACAAAUGUUUUCUUUAUGCAUAUGAGCACUCUCUAUUAACCCUAUGAGUCUGGACACCCCAAAUUGUCUCAUUUGACAAAGCUCUGACUCUGACGAUUUCAUGCUUAUAGCUGAACUUGAAGGGUGAAAGGUACUUCAUGAAAAGUCAUGUAUUGGAGGGAAUAAUUUCAUUCUGUUUUUGUGCAUGAAAAAUUACCUUGUGUUUUGAGACACUGCAAUUCUUAUACUAGCUAUACUAGAGUUAAUGAAUCUUAUUGAUAUGAUGUUCUAAUACAUUUGCAUCUUAUUACUUAUUCAGGAGUGCUAUAACAUUACAAAAUAAAUGAAGCUGAGAGCCUGUUUUUCUUGUAAAAAUCAUUUUUCUGUACUUCAAUGUAGGAGAUUUUGCCAAUGGGGUCAUAAGAAAUAGGUGUUUUGACAAUCAUGUUUGGUACAUAAUUUGCUCUGUUUUUAAAACUUAAUAAUAAGGCAAUGUUAUUUAAUGAAAGAAAAAGGAAGUUAUUUUAACUGAAUUGAACUAUUUCAUCUCAUAAUAGUAGGGUCUAAAAUUAACUUAAUUGUUUUUUGUUGUUGUUAAUUGAUGUGUGUAAAAUUAGUUAAAAUUUAUAUAUGCUGGUUUAUUGUUCCAUACAUAUGGAAAUAUCUGUUACUGAAGAAAUAUGAUGAUCAUUUAUUUUUCUAAAUCAGCUUCUGUUACUUCAGUAAUCAAAAUAAAGGAGAUGCCAUAUUGUGGUUCUCUCAUCUAAGCUCCUAGGAUUUUUUGAAAUUAUUGAGACAUGGUGUACAAAUUUAGUGCGAGUAAUAUUGGUUUGUUAAUUAAAAGGCAUUAUUUUUAUUAUUGCUUCUAUAUUUUGUUUUAUAUUAUUUGUUGAAGCAAAUUUUAUAAUUAUUGAUAUGGAACUGUCAUGGUCAUUAUUGGAAGUAGAGUACAGUUUAUUUCAUUUUAUUUUUUAAAAAAGAAACUUAGUGACUUUAAUAGUACGGAAAUUAUGUGAUGAAUUGUUUUUGAUUUUUUUAAAGUCUGAUAUUUUAUAUAUUUAGUAUAUAUAUAUAUAUAAAACUUUACAAAAAUAUAUUGUUUUUAUUCUUCCUACAAAUGUGAAGUUUUUUUUAUUCCAAUUAUAAAAUAUUAUUUUUUUCUACUAGAAUAUGUUGUGUUUUGAAUUGAGAAUUUCUUUUCUCUUGAUAUUUAAAUAAAUUUAUUUUAG